UGAGAAAUUUUACAUUCAAUAAGCGGAGGAAAAGAAACCAACAGGGAUUGCCUCAGUAACGGCGAGUGAAGCGGCAACAGCUCAAAUUUUAAAGCUGGCGUCUUUGACGCCCGCGUUGUAAUUUGGAGAGGCAUCUUCGGUUUGGGCGCCAGCCUAUGUUCCUUGGAACAGGACGUCACAGAGGGUGAGAAUCCCGUGCUUGGCUGGCUGUCCCUUUCCAUGUGAAGUGCCUUCGACGAGUCGAGUUGUUUGGGAAUGCAGCUCAAAAUGGGUGGUAAAUUCCAUCUAAAGCUAAAUAUUGGCGGGAGACCGAUAGCGCACAAGUAGAGUGAUCGAAAGAUGAAAAGCACUUUGAAAAUAGAGUUAAAAAGUACGUGAAAUUGUUGAAAGGGAAGCGCUUGAGACCAGACUCGGCCGGAGAUGAUCAGCCGUCCUUCUGGGCGGUGCACUUGUCUCCGGUCGGGCCAGCAUCGGUUGAGACGGCGGGAUAAAGGCCCGGGGAAUGUGGCUCCUUUCGGGGAGUGUUAUAGCCCCGGGCGCAAUGCCGCCAGCCUCGACCGAGGACCGCGCUUUUUGCUAGGAUGCUGGCGUAAUGGUCUUCAGCGACCCGUCUUGAAACACGGACCAAGGAGUCUAACAUCUAUGCGAGUGUUUGGGUGUCAAACCCUUGCGCGUAAUGAAAGUGAACGGAGGUGGGAACCCCUUCGCGGGGCGCACCAUCGACCGGUCCUGAUGUCUUCGGAUGGAUCUGAGUAGGAGCAUAGCUGUUGGGACCCGAAAGAUGGUGAACUAUGCCUGAAUAGGGUGAAGCCAGAGGAAACUCUGGUGGAGGCUCGCAGCGGUUCUGACGUGCAAAUCGAUCGUCAAAUUUGGGUAUAGGGGCGAAAGACAAUCAACCUUGC
rnacentral:rRNA from 1 species